GCAGAUUAAGAAACUGAGGCUCAGAGAGGUCAAGCUACUUUCCCAAGGUCACAUAGCCAGCAAGUGAAGGAGCCAAGGUACAAAUGCAGACUUCUUGACUUCUCAGAUGCUGCUAACUCCUAUGGUAAACUAUGAGGAGCCAACCUAGGAGAAAAGAAGAAAACACAAUAGAAUGAUUUCACAGAAUGAGCUUAGAUUAUAGAAUAUCUGAAUCCACCUAUGACUUGUAAGCCCUUGCUUCAAGAUAUCCCACCUUUUCGGGCUGAACCAAUAUAUACUUUCCAGGUAUCGAUUUAUGCUUUUGCCUGUAACUCCUACUACCUCCUUGAAAUGUAUAAAACCAAUCUGUAAUUUAACCACCUCAG
rnacentral:lncRNA from 1 species